UACGGAGGGUGCGAGCGUUAUCCGGAAUUACUGGGUUUAAAGGGUGCGUAGGCGGCGCUGUAAGUCAGGAGUGAAAGUUUGCGGCUCAACCGUAAAAUUGCUUUUGAUACUGCGGUGCUGGAAUUAGGAUGGGGUCAGCGGAAUGUGGCAUGUAGCGGUGAAAUGCAUAGAUAUGCCAUAGAACACCAAUUGCGAAGGCAGCUGGCUAGACCUGGAUUGACGCUGAGGCACGAAAGCGUGGGGAGCGAACAGG
rnacentral:rRNA from 1 species